AUUGAACGCUGGCGGAAUGCUUUACACAUGCAAGUCGAACGGCAGCACGGACUUCGGUCUGGUGGCGAGUGGCGAACGGGUGAGUAAUACAUCGGAACGUGCCCAGUCGUGGGGGAUAACGUAGCGAAAGCUACGCUAAUACCGCAUACGAUCUACGGAUGAAAGCGGGGGAUCGCAAGACCUCGCGCGAUUGGAGCGGCCGAUGGCAGAUUAGGUAGUUGGUGGGGUAAAGGCUCACCAAGCCGACGAUCUGUAGCUGGUCUGAGAGGACGACCAGCCACACUGGGACUGAGACACGGCCCAGACUCCUACGGGAGGCAGCAGUGGGGAAUUUUGGACAAUGGGCGCAAGUCUGCUCCAGCCAUUCCGCGUGCAGGACGAAGGCCUUCGGGUUGUAAACUGCUUUUGUACGGAACGAAAAAGCUCUUACUAUUACUAGGAGUCCAUGACGGUACCGUAAGAAUAAGCACCGGCUAACUACGUGCCAGCAGCCGCAGUAA
rnacentral:rRNA from 1 species